rnacentral:tRNA from 1 species
UCCUUAGUGGCUCAGCUGGUAAAGAAUCUGCCUGCAAUGCAGGAGACCUGGGUUCGAUCCCUGGGUUGGGAA